rnacentral:rRNA from 1 species
UACGUAGGGCGCAAGCGUUUAUCCGGAAUUAUUGGGCGUAAAGAGCUCGUAGGCGGUUUGUCGCGUCUGCCGUGAAAGUCCGGGGCUCAACUCCGGAUCUGCGGUGGGUACGGGCAGACUAGAGUGAUGUAGGGGAGACUGGAAUUCCUGGUGUAGCGGUGAAAUGCGCAGAUAUCAGGAGGAACACCGAUGGCGAAGGCAGGUCUCUGGGCUGUAACUGACGCUGAGGAGCGAAAGCAUGGGGAGCGAACAGG